AGAGACUAGAGAAGGCAGCGGAGUAGAUCCAGAGAGAGGUCGGAGCUGGGAGUGCGGGAGAUGCAAGUUUAAAGAUUGAAUAAAUGUCACUACUGUCCCUACGGGUAUCAAGGCCCAGCUUGAACUCCUCAUCUGUACACAUUGGGAGAUCUGGCCUACAUUAGGCGAUAUGAGACUGCCACCGUGAGUCCUUACACCAUGAUCCUGACCAGACCAACUGUUCUGAAGGUGGAUAGAAUCAAGACCUGGGUCCAUGCUUCACAUGUAAAUGCUGACUUCCCUUUUGGAGACAGAGUGACACCAACCACUGACAUGUCCAGGCAACAGGAGACGACCCUACUCAAGAUAAGACUGAAGAAAGUGGCUGAAAGGAACCAUGGGAAGAGCACGGGUUAUUCUCUGUUACUGCAUGAUUGUAGUGACAACUGCAGAGUAAUCUCCUUACAUGCCCCAGUUUGGGCACUGGGUACUCUCUGAUACUGAAGCUAGUAGAAUUAGUCUUGAUCUGUGGCAGUUAUGACACACGCUAGGAUGUGUGUUUGUCAAUACUGAGCCUAUUGUCUUGAAUGUAACCCCUUGCUUGUCCCCUUCCUACUUUGCCAACUCCAGUUCCCCUGAAUUGUGUUUAAUGGUAAAGAUUGUGCUACAGGAAUAUCGUUAUAGGAAGAGAUCUGGGAAAGUCAACUUGUCAUCAUGAUCUCAUCCCCUCCUGAGACCCUUAGUACUUCUGUUUUUACUCCUGACUGUGGGCUUCUGUAUCCUGAAUAAGUUGGUGUCUUAUGUUAAAGGUAGAAUGAACAUGGUACAGUUGAUGGUUCUCAGGCAGGAUUAUCAGAAGCUCCCAAACCUGGGCAGCCUACAAUUGAGUGGUCAGAAUGAGGAAGAUUCCUCAUUAUGAAUAACUUAACGGGGUAAUGUUAGGACCCACUUAGCCAGAGAACUGCCAUGACAGGCUUUGUGGCCUUCUGAGUGACCUAGGUUUCUUCCAGGAUCAAGAAAAGCAGAAAGAUCAGAUGCUUUUGUCAAAGAUUACAUCCUCGGAAUAAGAUUAGAUCUCCAGAAUAUUACUGUCAGGGCGGUGGAUUGGAUAUUGCAGGCCAAAACAACAACAAUAAAAUAAACAUGUACUUUGUAGGUAAUAAAGAUUGCUGAGUAAUCCUGACUUGCCAAAAUGAAAGUAUAAGAAUUUGCUGAACCUAGUGUUCGGGGUCCUUGUUAAGCCCGCUGCAUCAGGCAGACACUUGGACCCUAGCUAGCUGGAACAAUAAACUUUGCUAGGUGAUUUGCA